AGUGAACGCUGGCGGUAGGCCCAACACAUGCAAGUCGAACGGCAGCACAGUGAGAGCUUGCUCUUACGGGUGGCGAGUGGCGGACGGGUGAGGAAUACAUCGGAAUCUACUUUUUCGUGGGGGAUAACGUAGGGAAACUUACGCUAAUACCGCAUACGACCUACGGGUGAAAGCAGGGGAUCUUCGGACCUUGCGCGAUUGAAUGAGCCGAUGUCGGAUUAGCUAGUUGGCGGGGUAAAGGCCCACCAAGGCGACGAUCCGUAGCUGGUCUGAGAGGAUGAUCAGCCACACUGGAACUGAGACACGGUCCAGACUCCUACGGGAGGCAGCAGUGGGGAAUAUUGGACAAUGGGCGCAAGCCUGAUCCAGCCAUACCGCGUGGGUGAAGAAGGCCUUCGGGUUGUAAAGCCCUUUUGUUGGGAAAGAAAAGCAGCAGGUUAAUACCCCGCUGUUCUGACGGUACCCAAAGAAUAAGCACCGGCUAACUUCGUG
rnacentral:rRNA from 1 species